UCUGUGCAAAGAAGAAAAGCAUUGGCUGGCAUGCUGCAGUCCAUGGGGUCGCAAAGAGUCGAACACAACUGAACGACUGAAUUGAACUGAAUGUAAGUGAAAUUCGUGCGGAUAUUUUCUAUUCCAAAUAGGACAGAUUUUCACCAUACUAUUGGGCUGCAUGAAAAGAAAUAUUUUAAAUAAAGGAAUCUUUACUUAUUAUUUUUUUUUAAAUCAGAAUAACCUCCAUUUCAUUUCAGCCUAUUGGAACCCACAGGAAUAUUUUACAGCUUCCUAGGGAAACUCCUAAAAAAAGGAGGAGAGAAGGAACAACUUCUAUCUUGGGAUUAAAGAGCAAAGAGACGAAGGCAGAAACAAAGACCCCUGCCUCUUCCUCCUCAGCAAGCACCCCCUUCAGCUACUGACUCAUAUGUACUCACAGCACUCAAGGACGGUUCACCUCCAUUUGUUCUGCCUUCUCUCUAUGAGGAAUGCACAGAGACCUGGAAACUGGCCGGGACAGACAGAGAAACUUGAUGGGUUUGUGAGAUGCCGCAGAUGCAGCAGCAGCAGGAAUCUAGCCAAGAACAAAGACCACAGUGCUACGUUCCCUGAUAAACGGAUGGCUUCAAAUUCCUUAUUUUUCUUCUUAGAAUCUACCCUGUUCAUCUGUCCUUUUAAAACUUUGUUUUCAGCACAUUGUAAAUCUGAAAAAACAAAAAAGACUGACUACAAGAGAACCAGUGGCCAGCAAUACCAUGUGCUACUGGACAAAGUUGAAAUUCAGAAUUCACAAUACAAGUGGCGUGAAGCAACAGAGACAAUGAAAGUUUAAUUUGAGG
rnacentral:lncRNA from 1 species